ACUGGGCGUAAAGGGCUCGUAGGUGGCCAACUAAGUCAGACGUGAAAUCCCUCGGCUUAACCGGGGAACUGCGUCUGAUACUGGAUGGCUGGAGUAUGGGAGAGGGAUGCGGAAUUCCAGGUGUAGCGGUGAAAUGCGCAGAUAUCAGGAGGAACACCGGUGGCGAAGGCGGAUCUCUGGGCCGAUACUGACGCUGGAGGAGCGAAAGCGUGGGGAGCGAACAGG
rnacentral:rRNA from 1 species